GUAAAAAUUUUAAUGCCACAACCAUGAACUCAACAAAUUACAUGGGUUUGUUUUUUUGUAAAAGAUAUUUUUUAUAUUAAAACUGUCCUUACAUUUGACUAUUUCUGAAUCCAGUAACCACCCCUGACCACCCACGGGCUUCAGUCAUUCUCUGAAAUCCACGUUUUCUAGCUCUCCUCCACCUGAUCCAGCCUGCCGGCCACUUUAAAAACAUGCAGUUUUUGGCAAUUGUACCCUACCGGCUGGUACAAUUAUCACAAUGCUUCGGCAUGUUUACGCAAAUGCACAUAUCUGACAAAAUGCAGUCUAUAAUUAUAUAUUAUUAUUUACAAUUUGUUUUUUGAAAACUGCAGAAAGAACUUUUAAUGCUAUUGAGAAUCAAAUUGAAUGAUUUUAAUGCCAUUUAAGGCCUUAAUUUUCCCCAAAUCAAUUUAAUGACUAUUAAUGUUUUUUUUAAUGCCCUGCAGAAACCCUGUAAGACUCAGUCCAGCCUAAAAUCCAAAAAUCCUUAUGAUGGCGACAGACAGAGGAGGCGUGGCCUCCGCUCAUUUGUUUACAUCACGCAACAACAAACGACCACAAGCCUUCUGGAUGAUGGGCUGUCCACUGUGUCCAAUCGUACCUAAUGUCAGCUGGGAUAGGCUCCGCCCCUCAAAUGACCCUCUGCAGGAUAAAAUUAAAUAUGGCUUUGUCGAAAAAAGAAAGAGUUGAACUGGUACUUCUCAGUGGAUGUGAAGGAUGGGCAUGUGGAAAGACAGCAGAUGGAUUUAAUGCACCUUGUCAAAGGAGGAUUCCACUUGGCUUUUCCACGGUGGUGAAGGUGGUUAAAAAGUUUAAAGAAACAGGCAGUGUCAUGGACGAACCCCGUUCUGGAUGACUUAAUGUAUCAGCCCAAACGAAAGAAUUGAUGAUGGCUAAAAUUCAUGCUAAAAAUAAAAAGUUAAUGAGA